UACGUAGGGUGCAAGCGUUACUCGGAAUUACUGGGCGUAAAGCGCACGUAGGCGGAUCGAUCAGUCAGGGGUGAAAUCCCAGGGCUCAACCCUGGAACUGCCUUUGAUACUGUCGAUCUGGAGUAUGGAAGAGGUGAGUGGAAUUCCGAGUGUAGAGGUGAAAUUCGUAGAUAUUCGGAGGAACACCAGUGGCGAAGGCGGCUCACUGGUCCAUUACUGACGCUGAGGUGCGAAAGCGUGGGGAGCAAACAGG
rnacentral:rRNA from 1 species